GACAGGGGAUGCAAGCGUUAUCCGGAAUGAUUGGGCGUAAAGCGUCUGUAGGUGGCUUUUUAAGUCUGCCGUCAAAUCCCAGGGCUCAACCCUGGCCAGGCGGUGGAGACUACUAAGCUGGAGUACGGUAGGGGCAGAGGGAAUUUCCGGUGGAGCGGUGAAAUGCGUAGAUAUCGGAAAGAACACCAAGGGCGAAGGCACUCUGCUGGGCCGAACCUGACACUGAGAGACGAGAGGUAGGGGACCAAAUGGG
rnacentral:rRNA from 1 species